AGGGAGUGAGGGAGGGAGUGAGGGAGGGAGGGAGGGAGGACAAGGUGGGGUUGCAAAUGAUGGUUCUCCUGACUGCACACUAGCCCCAGAAACUGUAGGAAACACAGGAACCAUAGGAACCGCAGGACUGGUUCUUCUGACGGGGCAGGGACCUGAGUCCUGACCAGAUCAAGCUAUUUUAACUACGUUUUAAUCUGUGUAUGUGAAGUAUAUGUACGCGCCUAACCCAGGUACACAGUUCAAACUGUAACUAAUAAUGUGAACUACAAGAAGAUGAGGUUUACAAAGAUGUCUGUGCGUGUGCAUCGUGUGUGUGCGUGCAUACGUGCGAGAGAAGUUUACAGUAGGAAAAGUAUUUGAACAAACUGGAAGUGCUUGCAUAGGAACUUCCUGGAGGGACUCAUCAGGUGACCUAUGAGCCAGCUAGUCUGGUAUCUAGCUGUAGGGGAAGAGGGGGGUGGGGAGAUUCAGGGCGGCCAUGAGGUAGAGGGGAGGUGAUUGGGGGUUUUCCCUCAAACCCAUCCUUUCUCACCACCCUAUCUAGCAGUGAUUGGCUGGCUUCCUUCAAGGCCACGCCUCCUUCACCACAGAUCUCCAAGAUAGGUUUACAGUUUUGGUAGGCUUCCUGUUCCUGUACAGACUUUUUCCCCUAAAACAACUAGACCAGUCUUCUAAUGUGAAGUACCGUAUUAUGCCUAUAAUAAAUCCACCUGUUUCUAUUCGGGGCAUUGAUAAAUGUUGAUGACAUUUACAUUUAAUGAACUGUAGAGUAAGGAUGAUGAUAAUGGUGUCAGAUGAACUGUAGAGUAAGGAUGAUGAUGAUAAUGGUGUCAGAUGAACUGUAGAGUAAGGAUGAUGAUAAUGGUGUCAGAUGAACUGUAGUAAUGAGUCUGUUUGUGUACUGAUCGUUAACACGUCUGUCGUCAACAUUUGAAUGUUAUCAAAUAAAUUGGAACAUCAGUCAGUG